rnacentral:rRNA from 1 species
UACGUAGGGGGCAAGCGUUAUCCGGAUUCACUGGGCGUAAAGGGAGCGCAGGCGGCACGGCAAGUCUGGUGUGAAAGCCCGGGGCCCAACCCCGGGACUGCAUUGGAAACUGCCGGGCUGGAGUGCCGGAGGGGUAAGCGGAAUUCCUGGUGUAGCGGUGAAAUGCGCAGAUAUCAGGAAGAACACCAGUGGCGAAGGCGGCCUACUGGACGGUGACUGACGCUGAGGCUCGAAAGCGUGGGGAGCAAACAGG